rnacentral:SRP_RNA from 1 species
GUUGGGAGUUGUGGCGUGCUCCUGUGAUCCAGCUACCUGGAGACCGGAGUCGGUGAACGGUGUGAGGGCAGGAGUCCUGCUUUCCAGGUGUUCUAUGUUGAGCGGGCGUCCGCACUAAGAUCGGUAUCAAUAUGGGCAACCGAGGGAGCUCAGUGUGACCAGGUUGUCUAAGGAGGGACGUACAGGCCAAGGCGGAAACGCAGCAGGCAAAAGUCCCCGUGUCGAUCAGUAGUGGGAUCGCGCCUGUGAAUCGGUAUCUGUCAGCAAUAAAAUAUAUUUGGACUCGGCUCUUU